CAGAAUAAGGCAGUCGUGUGUUUAUUAGUCAUCUUUAAUCAAUCAAAGUCUUUCAAUCUUCUGUUUAUUCAGCUACAGCUAUAUGAAGUGUGUAAUCUUCUUCUGCGGCAGGGCAUGUUUAGAGUUUCUGCACAAGAGCGCCCUCUGGCUUUCAGAUGGAGAAGCAUUUACUACUGAUCACAGAGCUGUACAGCUCUCUGACCAGCCUUUGCCAAAUCACGUGUGGUUUAAUCGUGAUAAAUCAUUGUAGCCCUAAUAUAUAUAUAUAUAAUAGAAUACACAAAAAAGCAUUUGCUCAAUAACUAUGACAUUCCGUAAUUAUGAUUUUCAACCCAUUCAAGUGCAAAACCAGUAGAAAGUUUAACUGAGGCUUGAUGUUCACUUGGCAUGGUUUAACACCUCUUUGUCACAUUCUCUGACUCUAGAAGGUACUAAAAUGUAAUCUUAAAAGCUUUGUAGACAAUUAAGGCUGUAGGUACACAUGGGACUAAAGCACAUCCGACUAUAUUUGCUAAUAUUAUUACUUAGCUCUACUAAUAUUUGUUCUGGCUGAGUGAGAGACUCUCAUACUUUUGGCGGUGUUCAGCAGGCUUUGGUGAGGAUAAUUCCUCAUCUCACAGCUUCCCUUUGAGGUGGAUUUCACCGCCUGGAUGUGCACAUGCUGUGGACUUCAUGCACAUAUGGGUUGAGCUAUAUAGCAAUCAUUCUCGGCUGGUGUCUCAAUUUAGAACCGCGGUCACCGGUCAUUCUUUAUGCACUGGCUAGAAAAUUAAGUCCAUUUCUUUUAGCUUUGCGGUGUGUAUUUAAAUUAGAGUCUAUUUGCAUAUUUCCACUGAGAGGAAAAUGGCUUUCGAUGCUGAUCUUGAUUAAUGAACUCUCAUCAAGCAGAUUAAUAUAUAUUCUGUCACACUUUAAGGACUGCGUUACAGCAAUUAGCUCAGGCUUGAUUUGGCUCUCGUUCUCGUUCAGCCUUCAGACAAUUUCUCGCUCGCAAACAUAUACUUCUGUGAGGACAUUUAGAAAUUUUAUGGUGAUAUUUUCAGAACAGUUAAAGCAUGCUCUCUAAUCAGCCAAGGAGCUCUUAAGAUGACACUCACGCUAGCCAAAAGCCUUCUCCACUUUAGAAAUGCUAAAGUGAAGCUCGCGCUCACGUUCAGUAUAUUAAUGCCUCUUGAAGUAAUUGUGUAUGCCAUUAAGGAAGUGGAUUUGCUAUCGGAAAUGCAUGCAUGCAUGGGCUCACUUGGCACAACACCUCAUUAAUAACUGUUGUUGUUUUAUUUCCCCCCUGCUGCCAUCUCGGAGGGGCAGAACGUAGUGCCAGGGUGGAUUGAAGAUGACAGGGAGAUAAAUUUCUCUGACUUCCUGUUUCCCAUUCAAAUUAGAGAUACACCCUCUGGUCCUCUAGAAUGCAAACUCAAUCAUACAGCCUGUCUUUUGUCUCAUAGGAGCGCUUGCAUCUAUGACCUUUGACCUCACAUCUCAAACAGAAGUGAAUGGCUGUCAGAUGUAUGUGGACUACGGCAGCUCAAACACCUGUCAGCUAGAGCAAGGCGGUCAUGAGUUAUCAUCUUGCCUCUGCAACGCUCCAGAACAGCUUAAUCAGCACAAUCUUGAAGGCAGGAAUUCAUCACUCAUUACUUUGCUGGCUAUCAGCAAUUAACAGUGGGAGGUAGAUGAUCCUGCUUCCAGAGGCCAGGAUCAAUCCGUCCAUCUGUGCUCCACUACCGGGGGCGAGUUGAGCCCUCAUGUUCCCUGCAUGAUGGAUGUGCGGAGCUGCACUGUAUUACUGUGUUUGUUGAAGAAGCUGUAGAGAACUGCUCAUCUGUCUUCAAAAGAAGACAAGUCUGCAAAUUAAGUCAACAACUUAGAAGAAAACUGCAUCUUCAUGGAUGAGAGACCAGGGAAGCUCUUGGCUCUCGUGCUCGGCAGCAGAAUGAAGAUGUCACUUGUGACAAACUGGCUACUACGCCAUAAAACCGUGAAGAGUUGAAGAGCGUGACUCUAUCCUAACAAUAAUCCUGUUCAUUUCUGAGGUAGUUGGUACCAGGCGAGGGUCUCCUUUGUCAUCCUAAAUAGAUGUCUCAGCGCUCCGCUCUGCCUUUUCUACAGAUCAGAAGAAAAACAGUAAUGAAAAAAAAAUGGGAAAAAGCCAUCAGCUCUAGAUUCACAAAAAGAGGGGAAAAAAGCAAGUUGUUAUUUUGCCCGAAGCGCAGCUAACUGCAUCAACAAAAAAAAUGUACGGUCUGCGCAGAGCGCUGUGUGACAGAGGAAAGCCAGUCAUUUUAAUAAAAAAGGACAGUUCUUUUGUGAAAAAGUGCUGAGCCGUUUGCAUUCUGGGCAGGCAGAAAAAUGUUUAAAUAACCUGAUUUUUAUUCUAUCUGAUAUGCGGUUAUGUGCGUGUGAGGGUGUGCUGGUACUUUAAGAGCAUGGAAAUCAGGGUCUCCUCCAAGUGAUCUCCAGGGAGUUCGGCUGAGUUUGAAGUACAAAUGCUGAAUUUAUUUAACCUCUUGACAAAUAUGCAUAUAUCUUACAUUCUUUGAGCCUCAUUUCCAUAAAAAUUCAUCUUAAAGACAUCAGGAAGUGCUUUUAAUUAAGUUUACUGUCAAAUUAGAAUGCUUUUUUGUCCUCUUUGACAAGUUUGUUAUAGUUUAAAAUGGCAAUAUUAUUAAAAUUCUUUAUGUGGUACUUACUUUUCAGGAAAAGAUUGGUAUGUUUUCUACAUGCUCUAUGAUAAAGUGCUAGUUGUAUAUCUCUAUUAUCUGUGAGGAUUUGUGAAAAUAAUCACUCACGAUGGGUCCAUGUUUUACAAUAACGUGCACUGACAGUUGGCGAUGACAGGCUUUGAACCAAAUCAUAGAAAUUGCGUUACCAGAAAUCAUGCAAGACACGGAAACUUCUUAAAUUGGCUGUUGUAAUCGAAUUGCAAUGUUUAAAGAUCCAUGUCUCUGUGAAAAAUGGCAAACACAUGGGCUGUUGAAUCCUUUGUUUCCUCAAUUAAAUUGUUUAAUGCAUAAUAUUAUUCACAUUUUGCGUAAUCUAAUAAUGACAGUUACAAAGCUGGGAUUAUUGUAUCACUUUUUGUUUUUUGCUCAUUUAUUAAAAAACAUUUUUUAGCCUGAAGCUUUGAAUUGCCAGUCAUUACCCAUGUCAAUACAAUCUGUAACUUGAGUCAAACAUAAUUAAUCUAGAAGCACAUGAAGGUUGAAAAAAUAUAAAUAUUAUAUUUAGUUUAGGUACACUAUGUAACUUUUUGUCCUCUAGGUGUUCAAAUCCAAGCCAUUCUUGAUUCUCGUUUUAUUAUGAGCGUUCAGUUUUUGCAAGUAGAAGCUCCUCUGUUCCACGUUUUUUUUUAACAGGUGAUUCGCUGGAGAUUUGAGAUUUAGAUGCUUCAUGUCAGCAUUUUUCGCUCGUUGUGCACUAACCUAUGCUACUCCCAAAUGCUUCAAAGUAGCCAGAGCAACUUUUCUCUAUUUACGGAUAUGACAAGACACGCAUGGGUGAGUGACCUGUAUGCAAGUCCUGCUCGGUCUAAAAUAUAAACACUUAUAAUGGACUUAAGAUACUAAACCAGGGUAAGACAGAAAUGCUUUUUUAGUUAGUAAUUUAAUUUUUUUUCUUACAUGUCAUGUCCGGGGCUCCGUAUUUCCCUCCAAAUCUCUCACCACACUUUUCUAAAGUGUUUAGUUGUCAAAGUACACAACGAAGCAUUGUUUUAUUACUAUUAUGUCAAAUUUUAAUGUUCUUCAAUUGUAGUUAUAGCUGUGUAAAGGUAAUUUUUAACAUGAUAUAUGAGUGAGCUUGGUCUUUCUGGAGCUUAAAGGAUGCUACCAAGAAUGAUAACUAUAAAGAUAAUGAUAAAGAUAUAGUUCUAAAAAAUCGUUUCUAAAUAUAAAAUAAUAGCAGAGUCCACACCACAGCUCUAACGAUAGAGGAACUUUCGCUUUCAGAACGAUUUGUUUCUACUUUGAACA